GACGAACGCUGGCGGCGUGCUUAACACAUGCAAGUCGAACGGAAAGGCCCUGCUUUUGUGGGGUGCUCGAGUGGCGAACGGGUGAGUAACACGUGAGUAACCUGCCCUUGACUUUGGGAUAACUUCAGGAAACUGGGGCUAAUACCGGAUAGGAGCUCCUGCUGCAUGGUGGGGGUUGGAAAGUUUCGGCGGUUGGGGAUGGACUCGCGGCUUAUCAGCUUGUUGGUGGGGUAGUGGCUUACCAAGGCUUUGACGGGUAGCCGGCCUGAGAGGGUGACCGGCCACAUGGGGACUGAGAUACGGCCCAGACUCCUACGGGAUGCAGCAGUGGGGAAUAUUGCACAAUGGGCGGAAGCCGGAUGCAGCAACGCCGCGUGCGGGAUGACGGCCUUCGUGUUGUAAACCGCUUUCGCCUGUGACGAAGCGUGAGUGACGGUAAUGGGUAAAGAAGCACCGGCUAACUACGUG
rnacentral:rRNA from 1 species